CAGCCGCCACGGGAACACGUAGGUGGCGAGCGUUGUCCGGAAUUAUUGGGCGUAAAGGGAGCGCAGGCGGACAUAUAAGUCCAUCUUAAAAGUGCGGGGCUCAACCCCGUGAGGGGAUGGAAACUGUAUGCCUUGAGUGCAGGAGAGGAAAGCGGAAUUCCCAGUGUAGCGGUGAAAUGCGUAGAUAUUGGGAGGAACACCAGUGGCGAAGGCGACUCUCUGGUCUGUAACUGACGCUGAGGCUCGAAAGCGUGGGGAGCAAACAGGAUUAGAUACCCCUGUAGUCCCUGUCUCUUAUACA
rnacentral:rRNA from 1 species